rnacentral:rRNA from 1 species
CCUACGGGUGGCAGCAGUGGGGAAUAUUGCGCAAUGGGCGAAAGCCUGACGCAGCGACGCCGCGUGAGGGAUGAAGGUCUUCGGAUCGUAAACCUCUGUCAGCAGGGAAGAACGGUCACUGUGCUAAUCAGCAGUGAAUUGACGGUACCUGCAAAGGAAGCACCGGCUACCGCCGUGCCAGCACCCGCGGUAAUACGGAGGGGGCGAGCGUUAAUCGGAAUGACUGGGCGUAAAGCGCUCGUAGGCGGUAUGUCAAGUCAAGGGUGAAAUCCCCGCGCUCAACGUGGGAACUGCCUUUGAAACUGGCAACCUGGAGUGUGUGUGAUGCUAGUGGAAUUCCAGGUGUAGG